rnacentral:tRNA from 1 species
GGGCUCGUAUUUCAAUGGAUAGAAUGGCGGUUUCCGAAGCCGCAGAUCCAGGUUCGACUCCUGGCGAGCCUA